rnacentral:rRNA from 1 species
GUAGUGAUAUGCUUGUUUCAAAGAUUAAGCCAUGCAUGUCUAAGUAUAAGCGAACUUAUACAGUGAAACUGCGGAUGGCUCAUUAAAACAGUUUGAAUUUAUUUGAUGAAUGUAUGAGAAUACUACUUGGAUAACCGUAGUAAUUCUAGAGCUAAUACAUGCAACGACGCCCGACCGUUUCACUACGGAAGGGCUGUAUUUAUUGGAUACCAAAACCAUCCUUCCCUCGGGAAGUUUUGUUUGAUGAUUCACAAUAACUGAUCGGAUCGCCACUGUGGUGGCGACAGGUCAUUCAACAUUCUGCCCUAUCAGCUUUCGAUGGUUGUGUAGUGGACAACCAUGGCCAUAACGGGUAACGGAGAAUCAGGGUUCGAUUCCGGAGAAGGAGCUUGAGAAUUGGCUACUACAUCUAAGGAGGGCAGCAGGCGCGCAAAUUACCCAAUCCCGAUUCGGGGAGGUAGUGACAAAAAAUAACAAUACCGGGCCUUUUUGGGCUUGGUAAUUGGAAUGAGGGAGAGUUAAACGGACCAUCGAGUAUCCAUUGGAGGGCAAGUCUGGUGCCAGCAGCUGCGGUAAUACCAGCUCCAAUAGCGUAUAUUAAAGUUGUUGCAGUUAAAAAGCUCGUAGUUUGACUUGUGUGCGCUGUCCGCGGGUGGCCUGCGCCCAAAAGGGCGUUUCGGUUCGGCCCCGGUGGCGCCUUGAAAUCUGCAGCUGGGGGGACGUUGGCCUUAACUGGUCGGCGACCGCACGCCGGCUGCUCGGUUACUGUGAGAAAAUUAGAGUGUUCAAGGCAGGCAUUGGGUGCAAUUGAAUACAUUAGCAUGGAAUAAUAAAAUAUGGCUCCUGCCGUAUUUUGUUGGUUUUGACUGGUGGGAGUAAUGAUUGAUAGGGACGGUUGGGGGUGCUAGUAUUGAGCGGCCAGAGGUGAAAUUCAUGGAUUCGCUCAAGACUAACUUAUGCGAAAGCAUUCACCAAGGACGUCCUCUUUAAUCAAGAACGAAAGUUGGGGGAUCGAAGACGAUCAGAUACCGUCGUAGUCUCAACCAUAAACUAUGUCGACUUGGGAUCGGCGGUAGUUUUUUCAUUAAGACACUGUCGGGACCACGGGAGAAAUCAAAGUGUCUGGACUCUGGGGGAAGUAUGGUCGCAAGGCUGAAACUUGAAGGAAUUGACGGAAGGGCACUACCAGGAGUGGAGCCUGCGGCUUAAUUUGACUCAACACGGGGAAACUUACCAGGUCCAGAGAUGUAGAGGAUUGACAGAUUGAAGCUCUUUCUUGAUCACUUCGGUGGUGGUGCAUGGCCGUUCUUAGUUGGUGGAGUGAUUUGUCUGGUUAAUUCCGUUAACGAACGAGACCUCAGCCUGCUAGUGUAGUCGGCUGGAUUGCCG